rnacentral:pre_miRNA from 1 species
CCGAGCAUCCCCCGGUGUGAUAGCUCCCUGCCGGAUAUCUGCUUCACACAGUGUGCAGUCAGGCGGGAGCUCCGACUCCUGGACGUUCA